GACGAACGCUGGCGGCGUGCCUAAUACAUGCAAGUUGAGCGCUGAAGGUUGGUACUUGUACCAACUGGAUGAGCAGCGAACGGGUGAGUAACGCGUGGGGAAUCUGCCUUUGAGCGGGGGACAACAUUUGGAAACGAAUGCUAAUACCGCAUAAAAACUUUAAACACAAGUUUUAAGUUUGAAAGAUGCAAUUGCAUCACUCAAAGAUGAUCCCGCGUUGUAUUAGCUAGUUGGUGAGGUAAAGGCUCACCAAGGCGAUGAUACAUAGCCGACCUGAGAGGGUGAAUGGCCAAAAUGGGACUGAGACAACGCCCAAACUCCUACGGGAGGCAGCAGUAGGGGAUCUUCGGCAAUGGACGAAAGUCUGAACGAGCAACGCCGCGUGAGGGAAGAAGGUUUUCGGAUCGUAAAACUCUGUUGGUAGAGAAGAACGUUGGUGAGAGUGGAAAGCUCAUCAAGUGACGGUAACUACCCAGAAAGGGACGGCUAACUACGUG
rnacentral:rRNA from 1 species